rnacentral:rRNA from 1 species
AGAGUUUGAUCAUGGCUCAGGAUGAACGCUGGCGGCGUGCCUAACACAUGCAAGUCGAGCGAGAAAUUUAGAUAGGAAUCUUCGGAGGAAUAUUUAAAUGGAAAGCGGCGGACGGGUGAGUAACGCGUGGGUAACCUACCCUAUACAGGGGGAUAACACAUUGAAAAGUGUGCUAAUACCGCAUAAGCACACAAUACCGCAUGGUAUUGAGUGAAAAACUCCGGUGGUAUAGGAUGGACCCGCGUCUGAUUAGCUAGUUGGUGAGGUAAAGGCUCACCAAGGCGACGAUCAGUAGCCGGCCUGAGAGGGUGAACGGCCACAUUGGGACUGAGACACGGCCCAAACUCCUACGGGAGGCAGCAGUGGGGAAUAUUGCACAAUGGGGGAAACCCUGAUGCAGCAACGCCGCGUGAAGGAAGAAGGUUUUCGGAUCGUAAACUUCUAUCAGCAGGGGAAGAAAAUGACAGUACCUGACUAANAAGCCCCGGCUUAACUACGUUGCCAGCAGCCCGCGGUNAUACGUUAGGGGGGCAANGCNGUUUAUCCGGAAAUUACUGGGNUGUAAAGGGUGCCGUAGGGCGGCCGAGGCCAAGUCAGAUGUGAAAAGCCCUUAGGCUCAACUUAGGGACUGCAUUUGAAACUGCUUUGCUAGAGUGCAGGAGAGGAAAGCGGAAUUCCUAGUGUGGCGGUGAAAUGCGUAGAUAUUAGGAGGAACACCAGUGGCGAAGGCGGCUUUCUGGACUGUAACUGACGCUGAGGCACGAAAGCGUGGGGAGCGAACAGGAUUAGAUACCCUGGUAGUCCACGCUGUAAACGAUGAGUGCUAGGUGUCGGCCUGUAGAGGGUCGGUGCCGAAGUUAACACAUUAAGCACUCCACCUGGGGAGUACGAUCGCAAGAUUGAAACUCAAAGGAAUUGACGGGGGCCCCGCACAAAGCGGUGGAGCAUGUGGUUUAAUUCGAAGCAACGCGAAGAACCUUACCAGGUCUUGACAUCCCAUUGACAGGGACUUAACCGUCCUUUACCUUCGGGACAAUGGAGACAGGUGGUGCAUGGUUGUCGUCAGCUCGUGUCGUGAGAUGUUGGGUUAAGUCCCGCAACGAGCGCAACCCUUAUCUUUAGUAGCCAGCACGUAAUGGUGGGGACUCUAGAGAGACUGCCGGGGACAACUCGGAGGAAGGUGGGGGAUGACGUCAAAUCAUCAUGCCCCUUAUGAUCCUGGGCUACACACGUGCUACAAUGGCGGUUACAAAGGGAAGCGAAGGAGUGAUCUGGAGCAAACCCCAAAAAAACCGUCCCAGUUCGGAUUGUAGUCUGCAACUCGACUACAUGAAGUUGGAAUCGCUAGUAAUCGCGGAUCAGAAUGUCGCGGUGAAUACGUUCCCGGGCCUUGUACACACCGCCCGUCACACCAUGGAAGUCGGAAGCGCCCGAAGCCGGUGACCAAACCGUAAGGAUGGAGCCGUCGAAGGUGAAAUCGAUGACUAGGGUGAAGUCGUAACAAGGUAGCCGUA